AUACGGAGGGUGCAGGCGUUAUUCGGAAUUACUGGGCGUAAAGGGCGUGCAGGCGGGAGAGCAAGUCUGAUGUGAAAGCCCGGGGCUUAACCCCGGAAGGGCAUUGGAAACUGCUUUUCUUGAGUUCUGGAGAGGAAGGGAGAAUUCCCGGUGUAGAGGUGAAAUUCGUAGAGAUCGGGAGGAACAUCAGUGGCGAAGGCGCCUCCUGGGAUAACACUGACGCUCAUGCACGAAAGCGUGGGGAGC
rnacentral:rRNA from 1 species